rnacentral:snoRNA from 1 species
AUCUAAUGAUGAUACCUAUCGGACACAAAUUUGUGUUUUGAUUCAUAAUGAUAAUCUUCCUUGGCUGUGUCUGAAGAUU